UCCCCCCAGCCCUAGUCCCAUCCCCAGCUCUAGUCCCAUCCCCAGCUCAGCACUAGUCCCAUCCCCAGCCCUAGUCCCAUCCCCAGCUCAGCCCUAGUCCCAUCCCCAGCCCUAGUCCCAUCCCCAGCUCAGCCUUAGUCCCAUCCCCAGCUCAGCCCUAGUCCCAUCCCCAGCUCAGCCUUAGUCCCAUCCCCAGCUCAGCCCUAGUCCCAUCCCCAGCUCAGACCUAGUCCCAUCCCCAGCUCAGCCCUAGUCCCAUCCCCAGCUCAGCCCUAGUCCCAUCCCCAGUCCUAGUCCCAUCACCAGCUCAGACCUAGUCCCAGCCCUAGUCCCAUCCCCAGACCUAGGACCAUCCCCAGCUCAGACCUAGUCCCAUCCCCAGUCCUAGUCCCAUCCCCAGCUCAGACCUAGUCCCAUCCCCAGCUCAGACCUAGUCCCAUCCACAGCCCUAGUCCCAUCCCCAGCUCAGACCUAGUCCCAUCCCCAGCUCAGACCUAGUCCCAUCCCCAGCCCUAGUCCCAUCCCCAGCUCAACCCUAGUCCCAUCCUCAGCCCUAGUCCCAUCCCCAGCUCAGACCUAGUCCCAUCCCCAGUUUAGCCCUAGUCCCAUCCCCAGCUCUAGUCCCAUCCCCAGCCCUAGUCCCAUCCCCAGUUCAGACCUAGUCCCAUCCCCAGCCCUAGUCCCAUCCCCAGCUCUAGUCCCAUCCCCAGCUCAGACCUAGUCCCAUCCCCAGCUCAGACCUAGUCCCAUCCCCAGCUCAGACCUAGUCCCAUCCCCAGCCCUAGUCCCAUCCCCAGCCCUAGUCCCAUCCCCAGCCCUAGUCCCAUCCCCAGACCUAGUCCCAUCCCCAGCUCAGACCUAGUCCCAUCCCCAGCUCUAGUCCCAUCCCCAGCUCAGACCUAGUCCCAGCCCUAGUCCCAUCCCCAGCUCAGACCUAGUCCCAUCCCCAGCUCAGACAUAGUCCCAUCCCCAGCCCUAGUCCCAUCCCCAGCUCUAGUCCCAUCCCCAGCUCAGACAUAGUCCCAUCCCCAGCUCAGACCUAGUCCCAUCCCCAGCCCUAGUCCCAUCCCCAGCCCUAGUCCCAUCCCCAGCCCUAGUCCCAUCCCCAGCUCAGACAUAGUCCCAUCCCCAGCUCAGCCCUAGUCCCAUCUCCAGCUCAGCCUUAGUCCCAUCCCCAGCUCAGCCUUAGUUCCAUCCCCAGCUCAGCCCUAGUCCCAUCCCCAGUCCUAGUCCCAUCCCCAGCCCUAGUCCCAUCCCCAGACCUAGGACCAUCCCCAGCUCAGACCUAGUCCCAUCCCCAGUCCUAGUCCCAUCCCCAGCUCAGACCUAGUCCCAUCCCCAGCUCAGACCUAGUCCCAUCCACAGCCCUAGUCCCAUCCCCAGCCCUAGUCCCAGCCCUACUCCCAUCCCCAGCUCAGACCUAGUCCCAUCCCCAGUUUAGCCCUAGUCCCAUCCCCAGUUUAGCCCUAGUCCCAUCCCCAGCUCUAGUCCCAUCCCCAGCCCUAGUCCCAUCUCCAGCUCAGACCUAUCCCAUCCCCAGCCCUAGUCCCAUCCCCAGCUCUAGUCCCAUCCCCAGCUCAGACCUAGUCCCAUCCCCAGCCCUAGUCCCAUCCCCAGCUCAGACCUAGUCCCAUCCCCAGCCCUAGUCCCAUCCCCAGCUCAGCCCCUAUUAAAUGUCAUUAGUCUGAGUCAUACGUAUGAAUGUAUUGAUUAGAUGCAGAGAUGGGAUGCAGGGAUCCAUUGAAGAGAUUUACCAGGUGGAACAAAGUCAUGUAAUCAAUCACCAUUCUCCCAGGAGGCUACUGACCUGGGCAACCUGCUCUACACGACACUGAGCCAUUCAUAAGGGCUGAGUCCCAAAUGGGACCAUAUUCCCUAUAUAAUGCACUACGUUUGACCAGGGCCACAUGGGCCAUUAGGGAGUUAUUGAGGGUAGGGAUGAGAAUAGACUACAUUGUAUACUGUUUUGGUUUCAAUAAUAUAAACCUCUUAUGAAAUGUUUUUUAUAUCACCCACUGCACAGGGCCUUUCUCAAGGGUUUGGUCUUUUUAACUAUUAAACCAUGGCAGCUGCUGCUAGCCCUUUUGAAUGCCUUGUUUUAUGUGUUAUUUUUAUCUUAACUCUGAGACAGUCACAUUGGUCUUAAGACAAUCCCUUCAGUCCCGGGGUGAUUCUAUUGUUAGAACUGUAGCACAUUGGUCUUAAGACAAUCCCUUCAGUCCCGGGGUGAUUCUAUUGUUAGAACUGUAGCACAUUGGUCUUAAGACAAUCCCUUCAGUCCCGGGGUGAUUCUAUUGUUAGAACUGUAGCACAUUGGUCUUAAGACAAUCCCUUCAGUCCCGGGGUGAUUCUAUUGUUAGAACUGUAGCACAUUGGUCUUAAGACAAUCCCUUCAGUCCCAGGGUGAUUCUAUUGUUAGAACU
ensembl:lncRNA